UACGAAGGGGGCUAGCGUUGCUCGGAAUCACUGGGCGUAAAGGGUGCGUAGGCGGGUCUUUAAGUCAGGGGUGAAAUCCUGGAGCUCAACUCCAGAACUGCCUUUGAUACUGAGGAUCUUGAGUUCGGGAGAGGUGAGUGGAACUGCGAGUGUAGAGGUGAAAUUCGUAGAUAUUCGCAAGAACACCAGUGGCGAAGGCGGGUCUCUGGGCCGUAACUGACGCUGAGGAGCGAAAGCGUGGGGAGCAAACAGG
rnacentral:rRNA from 1 species